UUCCGGUUGAUCCUGCCGGACCCGACUGCUAUCAGAGUGGGACUAAGCCAUGCGAGUCAACGCCGUAAGGCGUGGCAUACGGCUCAGUAACACGUAGUCAACAUGCCCAAAGGAUGUGGAUAACCUCGGGAAACUGAGGAUAAACCGCGAUAGGCAAAGGUUUCUGGAAUGAGCCAUGGCCGAAAUCUAUAUGGUCUUUGGAUUGGACUGCGGCCGAUCAGGCUGUUGGUGAGGUAAUGGCCCACCAAACCUGGUACCGGUACGGGCUUUGAGAGAAGGAGCCCGGAGAUGGGCACUGAGACAAGGGCCCANGCCCUAUG
rnacentral:rRNA from 1 species